AAGUCGUAACAAGGUUUCCGUAGGUGAAACUGCGGAAGGAUCAUUAACACGUAUCCAACGAUAAAAACACCCCUGUGAACCCGUUAAUCUUGCUCCUCACGCCCUGCACGCCUAGCAAUCCCAGAUUUUGAGUCAGGGACUUCUGACGUGACGCGAAGAAUGGUUAAACUCCAUCUGCGUGGGAUAUUUGCGACGUAGUAAACCACUUGGCUCCCAAGCAACCAUGUUUCUAAAAGCGGUCAUGGAAGCGUAAGGAGACGCUGUAACAUUUGCGGCACACCACCUAUGAGAAUGUCAAUUUAGCGAGGACUAAAAGCCUCGCACCAAAAGCCGAACAACUGUUAACAAUGGAUAUCUUGGUUCUCA
rnacentral:misc_RNA from 1 species